CCCUCCCCAGUGGACGGAGGCAGGAAGGCUCCAGGCGCGCUCUCCCCUCUGACCACCUACGGAAUGACCUCAGAGUGGGAGAAUGUGCCAAGGCCCCGAGGAAGCUCGCGUUCUCCCCACUGCAACCAAAUUCACAUCUGGAGCCGCGCCUUCGGCCCGGGGGCGCGCGGGGCGGUUCCAGUUUGAGAGGGGUUAGGAAAGAAAGACUGAAGGAAAAAAAGAAAGAAAGAAAAAAGUGGCAGCUUGCUUUCUAUUUGACAGUGUCUGUCCCUCUCCCUCUCUCUCCCUCCCUCUCUCUCUCUCUCUCUCUCUCUCUCUGUCUCUCUGGUAGUCUCCCCAAAGCUCUCUCGCUCUUUCUCCGCCCUGCGCUCCCCUUUGCUGCGCGAGUCGCCCUGCAGGACCAUUCACGUCUCCCAUCACCCCCGAAGCCUCCCGCAGGGAGAGGAGGAGCUGCCGCCAAGAGGCCCUCACCCCAGGCUCCAAGAGGCGGACGCGAGCCAGUCCCAGGAGCCUGCUGGGCUGUGGGUCCUGGUGUCGCGCGACGCGAAGGUUUAGGGGACACUCCAGGGCGCGGGGGCCGCGAAGGGCCGCGAUGGGGGUGGAGGAAAUGGGAGGCUGUGGAGGCGUGUUACCGGGGGGAAAGGCACCUUCACCUCCUAGGGAUGUUUUCUCGGCCUCCCCGGGGAAGAGUCUGGAGCUCUGAGGUGGGGGAACGCUGUGUCGCCCCCGCCCCACCGUCCCCAUCCCCCCGGCGCCCCCCGUCCAAGUCCAAGGAAGAGCAAUUUGAUGCGUGGUUUAGAUUCAAUCCUCCAAGCCAGUUGCCAGAGCUCCCCCUAGCGCCGCUUGGAGGGCGCUGCAGCGGCUGCGGCUGGGAGUGGGCGAGGCGCAGCCGGGGGCGGUGGGGCUGCUGGGGGCGGCUUAGAGCCCACCUGGGGCGCAGCGCAGCGUCGGGAUCCAGCCCUGGCUGGAGCGGGAGCCCGGGGGCUGCGUGCAUCCCCACUGCAGACCCGCGUCGAGGAUGGGGCACGUGGUCCGCCGCCUUUGUUGGGAGCGAGGACCUGGGCAAGGGAAGGGACCAGGCAAGCGGCUUGGGAACUCCCACCCGUCCCUAUGGCAAAGAAGGGUGGGUGGUGGCCUGCGAAAUUAGAGCUCUGAGCCCAACAGGACCCCGGUCCAGGGUUCUCCUCUCUUCUGCCAGGUUUUCCGAGCUUCGGCUGCACCAAGAGACCUCAGGCACGUUGGGAUCUAGGGAAACCGUGGGGUGGGGUUGGAGGGCUCUGGGAGCACCCAGAAGAGAGGUGCCCUCUGCCCAACUAUCUUUUCAGGACCCAGGGACCUCGGGCAGCCACACAAAGGGUUAAUGCCCUGAGCAGAAUGCACAGCGACCCAAAACACAAUCCCCUGGCCAUCUACCUCUGAGAUGUUCCCCACAAAAUAGUGACACAAGCACGGUCCUGACGUUAGAGUGCACACCACAAUGAGGACCACACCGGGCCAAACACACUGUCCCCAACACAAGACGCUGCAAGUAGCAUCCUCACUCCACUCAAUGCCACGCCCCCUUCCCUGGAGAAUGGCAGAGCAAAGCGUGCCCUCCCGGAACAGGGAACAGCCGGAGAGACUGAAAGGCUGGGGAGGUGGGGGGCUAUGAGGAUCUUGGGAAAAGGGGGAGGGGCCUGUCCGCAGGCAUACCGGGAGCCCACAGACCCAGGUCCUGUGUCCCAGGGCCCUCCGUCCCCAUCCCAUGGUUUCACGAGAUCCCAACGUGCCUGAGGUCUCUUGACACACAGACAACCUGGCAGAGGAGAGGAGAGCCCUGCAUUGGGGUCCUGUUGAGUUUCAGAUAAGCCCCAGCUCUUUCCAGAAAAAAGGCUAAGCCAGACCCCCACAAGAGCCCCUAGGCAGGACUUAGGGUGAGGGGCUCCUUGAGGAGGUAGGGAGAUGGGAAGAGACUGAGGGACUUGGAAGUGAUGAGGCAGAGCUUUCAGAGAACAGCAUUCUGGAAGCGAGAGCUCCAGCAAGCCCCUGGUCCCUUCAGGUUAACCAGCACAGACACACACACACACACACACACACACACACACACUUCCCUCAGGCUCCUAGAACACCGCAGGUCCCGCUGCCCUUGAUACGUGGUGUAGGGCUGAGCCAGGCCCCAAGCUGCCUUCCCAGCAACACAGAGAUGCUGGAAUGACAGCCAAGAGCCUCACAGAGCUGCAGGCUGCCUUCGAGAGAGGCCAGGGCCUGGGGAUGCCCUGGACUCCCCGGAGGGCCACUGUCUAGAACACUGAGGUCUGAGUGCGUCUAUGGGAUGUGUGUGUGUGCGUGUGUGUGUGUGUGUGUGUGUGUUCAUGGGCUUCCGCUGGUGCAGGGCAUGUCUUUCUGCAGCUCCAUGCACAGACACACAUUUGCAGGGUGCCUACUUGGUGCCUAGCCCGUGCAAAGCCGUGAGCUGAGCACUGCAAAAAAGAACAGCAAAUAAAAGGACCCCAAAUCCCUCUGUAUGUAUUCACCCACUUAAUUUUCCUCUCAGAGCUCUAUACUAUUAGCAUCCCUGUUUUAGAAACAAGAAAGCUCGCCCGAAGUCAUGUGACGAAGAAGCGGCGGGUCGUACGGUUGGAGUUCACAGUCUAGUGGAGAAAAAUUCAUAACAUACUACAAUACGGGCUGGCAGAUGACCCUGACGCUAUCUAAAUAGUACCAUUGGCUUCUUCCAGCUCCAACCCGCCAGUGAGUUCCUGUGUUUAGCCUUCGCAUUUGCUGUUCUGUCCACCCGGAAUGCUCAUCCACCUUUGUUUGUCCAGCUAAUACGGAAAGGUCCUCUACCAACUCGCUCCACUCAACAAAAUCGAUGACCUACAAAAUAAGAAGAAGCACCUUCUUCCAGAGAGACCCACACAAGAUCUUUUCACUCUGGGGCUGGGGAAGGAGGGCGGAGGACAUGCCCUAUAAACUUUGUUGGAGUUUUUCGUGUCUUUCCAUAAAUUGGUACUUGUGUUUGCAAAAGAGGUUCUUCUGCAGGAAAAUGUCUGGGUAUCUUGAGGGCCUGGCUCUGCCUGAGAGUCAACAUUUACUCAGGGCUUGUUGAACAGUUUCAUUCAGGACACGGGCUUGGUGAUGGAAUGAAUGAAGGGAUGGAUGCCUGCCUGAAUGAACCAACCAUCUGUCCUCCAGAAAGUGGGUUAAAGGGAAAACAGCAGGGAAAGAGAUUGUUGGCCCGCACCCCCCCCCAUCAGCCCUUUCCCCACCCCAACCCCCUGGGUCACCUCCCCUUGACC